rnacentral:rRNA from 1 species
GGACUACUGGGGUAUCUAAUCCCGUUUGCUCCCCUGGCUUUCGCGCCUCAGCGUCAGAAAAGGUCCAGCACGCUGCUUUCGCCAUCGGUGUUCCUUCCGAUAUCUACGCAUUUCACCGCUCCACCGGAAGUUCCGCAUGCCCCUACCUCCCUCCAGACCGCCAGUAUCGAAGGCCAUUGUCCCGUUGAGCGGAACGAUUUCACCACCGACUUGACAGCCCGCCUACGCGCCCUUUAAACCCAGUGAUUCCGAACAACGUUCGCACGGUUCGUCUUACCGCGGCUGCUGGCAC